GAUGAACGCUGGCGGCGUGCUUAACACAUGCAAGUCGAGCGAGAAACUACAUGCAGACACUUCGGUAGAAGCGAGUAGCGGAAAGCGGCGGACGGGUGAGUAACGCGUAGGCAACCUGCCCUUCACAGAGGUAUAGCCUCGGGAAACCGGGAUUAAAACCACAUAAAAUCAUAGGUUCGCAUGAACCAAAGGUCAAAGAUUUAUCGGUGAAGGAUGGGCCUGCGUCUGAUUAGCUGGUUGGUAGGGUAAAAGCCUACCAAGGCGACGAUCAGUAGCCGACCUGAGAGGGUGAUCGGCCACAUUGGAACUGAGACACGGUCCAAACUCCUACGGGAGGCAGCAGUGGGGGAUAUUGCACAAUGGGGGAAACCCUGAUGCAGCAACGCCGCGUGAGGUAUGAAGGCCUUUGGGUUGUAAGCCUCUGUCCUAGGGGAAGAAAAAAAUGACGGUACCCGAGGAGGAAGCCCGGCU
rnacentral:rRNA from 1 species